rnacentral:piRNA from 1 species
UGCUGAACACCAACCGGAUUGGUCAUUAGA